GGUCAUGGCUUAGUGGUAGAGCGCUUGCCUAGCAUGUGCGAGGCCCUAGGUUUGAUCCUUAGCACCA
rnacentral:tRNA from 1 species